UACGAACUGUGCAAACGUUAUUCGGAUUCACUGGGCUUAAAGGGUGCGUAGGCGGCCAUGUAAGUAGGGUGUGAAAUCCCCCGGCUUAACCGGGGAACUGCGCCCUAAACUGUGUGGCUUGAGUGAGAUAGGGGUGUGUGGAACUUCCGGUGGAGCGGUGAAAUGUGUUGAUAUCGGAAGGAACGCCGGUGGCGAAAGCGACACACUGGGUCUCAACUGACGCUGAGGCACGAAAGCCAGGGAGCGAACGGGG
rnacentral:rRNA from 1 species